UAUUAUACUAAUGGAUAUUAACUAUCCUGGAUGAUUAAUAGAUAUAUUCUUUAAACCCAAAGAAUUUGGCGGUAAUUUAGUCUUGUUAGAGGAACCUGUUUUUGAAUCGAUAUUCCACGUAGAAUUUUACUCAUUUUAUGUAGUUUAUAUACCGUCAUUGGCAGAUAAUUUUUAAAGAGUUAAUUAUUAGAGUUUAAAUUUAAUUAAACUAAAUUAGAUCAAGGUGUAGCCUAUAAAUGAGUUAAAAUGGGUUACAAUAAAAUUUAUUUAUAACGGAACAGGUGUAAGAAAAGACGCUGUAGAAGGAGGAUUUAAUUGUAACGUAAGUUUAAUAAGCUAAAAAGAUAUAAGCUCUAAAUUAU
rnacentral:rRNA from 1 species